ACCAUUGGGGGACAGGGAAUAGUAUAAAGCUGAGGUAUAUAUCCCUUUAAUUGGAAGAGCUAGUGAGACACAUCAAUAUAAUCUAAUGUUUUGACCUCUUUCAAGUAUGAUGUUGCAGUUAAAAAUGGGGUAUCCAGGAUUGUAUCCACAGAAGAACAUCAAGAAGAAAAAUCAAUUGCAGUCCCAAUUUCUUGGCAGGGUAUAUUGUUUGAUGGAUCCAGGAAGCAGUGGCAAGUUGGAGGGCUAUGACUUUAUGGGAUAUAUAUGGAAACCUGAUGAUCUGCAAAGCACAAAACAUGUUGCUUACAGAAAGCACCCAAAAGAAAUUUGCAGACCCGUUUGAAUGAUUUUAUGAUGCCCAGAUGUGCUUCAGAGACCAAGACUGAGUUGGCGGAUGUAACACAAUGAGGGUUUUGUGUCAGGGAUGUGUGAACAAAAUGCCCCUCUGCCAAAGGUGGUAAACAUUCCAUUUUGAGUAUGUCUUUUCAAAGGUGAAGAAGAGAACAGUUUCCAGAGGGUAUUUCACAAAGUAAAGCUGAUUGUGGCUCAAAUUUGCCAGUGUCAAUGGGGGACAUCCAGAUUCCUGUAUGGGUUACAGAAGUCCAUCCAUGAUCCCUUUUCUUCAUGACUUACAAGCCGUCUUUCAACAAUAUUAUCGGGAAGCAACGGGCUUCUUUGGGUUUGCUGAAUCUUCUUCUAUUCCUAUGUCCCUGCAAGCAGAUGAAGAAUUCUAACAGAAAACCUUUUGAAUUUCUUCAGCAAUGUCUCUAGGAGAAAGAUGGACAUUCUGGUUACGUUUUUGAAAUAUCAUCUCAGUUAAGAACCAAAAGCCUGCAAAUUACAGCAGUCAGAAUACUAAAUAUAAAUUGUGAACUGACAUUACUUAGUGUUUGUCCAAAUUUACCUACUUCUAUUUUUAAUUUGUAAUUGUGUGCGUGGAUAUUGAGUGCAUAUGUUCUAUUUUGGGUCUUGUAUUAACCAUUUAAUGUUCUUACCCAGGUUAGUUUCAGAAAAAUAUAUUGACUCCUUUCUUUGUUUAAAAACUCAAGAAAAGCUGUCUGGUUAAUCCUUUACAACCAGCAUGUAAACACAGUCAGUACAUACACUAAAUCGACAAAUCCAUCUUUUAA